ACCAUGCAGUUGGAGCUUAACUGGGUUUUCCUUGUUGCUAUUUUAAAAGGUGUCCAGUGUGAGGUGCAACUGGUGGAGCCUGGGGGAGGCUUGGUGCAGCCUGGAGGAUCCAUGAGACUCUCCUGUGCAGCCUCUGGAUUCACCUUCAGUGAUUACUACAUGAAUUGGGUACGCCAAGCUCCAGCGAAGGGACUGGAGUGGGUGGGUUUCAGUAGAAACAAAGCUAAAAGUUACACAACAGAACACAAUGCAUCUGUGAAAGGCCGAUUUACCAUCUCCAAAGACAAUGACAAGAGCAUGCUGUACCUGCAAAUGAACAGCCUGAGUGCUGAGGACAUGGCCGUGUAUUACUGUGCAAAAGACACCUUGGAUAAACUACAGUUAGAGUCCAGACACAAACUUCCUUGCUGCGAAGGGAUCAAGACCAGCAGGAGCGCUCAGUGCACUAGGAGAUUCUCCACUGUCAUCACCCAUAGCAGAUUCUGA